GGUCAGGACGAACGCUGGCGGCGUGCCUAAUACAUGCAAGUCGAACGGUCUUUCUAUGGAAGCUUGCUUCCACUGAGAAGAUAGUGGCGAACGGGUGAGUAACACGUGGGUAACCUGCCCAUAAGAGGGGGAUAACAUCCGGAAACGGGUGCUAAUACCGCAUAGUUUUCUUGAUCGCAUGAUCGGGAAAGGAAAGACGGCCUUUGUGCUGUCGCUUAUGGAUGGACCCGCGGCGUAUUAGUUAGUUGGUGAGGUAACGGCUCACCAAGACGAUGAUACGUAGCCGACCUGAGAGGGUGAUCGGCCACAUUGGGACUGAGACACGGCCCAAACUCCUACGGGAGGCAGCAGUAGGGAAUCUUCCGCAAUGGACGAAAGUCUGACGGAGCAACGCCGCGUGAGUGAAGAAGGUUUUUCCGGAUCGUAAAACUCUGUUGUCAGAGAAGAGCAAGUUGGAGAGUAACUGCUCCAGCCUUGACGGUAUCUGACCAGAAAGCCACGGCUAACUACGUGCCAGCAGCCGC
rnacentral:rRNA from 1 species